UCCAAUUAUUUUUUUAAAUCUCCCAACUGGUGCCAUUGAAUUGAGAACAAAUCACCAAAUAAUUGGAUAAAAAUAUUUUGAAUUGAUUUCUAUCAUUCAUUGUGUCCACCCCAAAUUCUCACACCUUGUUAUUUGUGCAUAAUAUUUUCACUCUUCCAAGCUUCCCUGUUUCAUAAAUAAUUUACUAUCUUCCCCAACCUAAGAUGAACCAGAAAAUUAAUAUUGGAUCUCUGCCAUCAUUAUAACUUUGAUGACUGCAAUUACAGCUGAUGCAAACUUAGGUCAGAUAUCUGGUUGUUCAUUUAACUGCUAACCACAUCAAAUUUAUUCAGCCAAAUCAUAACCAGCUGCUCACCAUUUUCUUAUGCAAAAUUCUUUUAUAUCAUUAAUAAAAGUUUCAAAUUUCAGUCCCAGU
rnacentral:lncRNA from 1 species